GUGCACACGAUGCACCACGCGCACGAUUCUCUGGGAACGCUGGCCCCCUGCCCCGAAAGCACCCUUCACGCCGUAACCCUAGAGAAAGGCCAGAGAGGGUGAAAUGCAAGUCUCUUCGGGAGCAUCCGCGCUGCUCACAGAGGUGGCGAUCGGGAUCGCCAAGGACACUCCCCACUGUCGGGCCGUGCCUGCAGGUGACAGCGCUCUCCGAGGGACGUUGGGAUGCGCGACAGGACAGCCUGACUGCACCCCAUGUCGUCCGCUGCAGUUUCCUUCUGUGUUCAAACCCAGCUGAAUCAGAGGUCACGUGGCUAAAUGAGAC
rnacentral:lncRNA from 1 species